UACGGGGACACGUGACUCUCUCUCAAGAGCAUUAGAACACCCUGACAACCAGACUGAACUGGAGACACUGAAGCGACGGUUACAUCGGAUCCCUGAGGGGGUUGGGCUUGUCAGAGAGGCUCUGAGUAAGCAGGCCCACCCUGAUAUCCUGAGUCCUCUCAGGCUGAAUGUCAGACACAGCAGAGGUAAGCUACAGGAAAAGAAGAAAUCUCGUCAGCCUCUCCCUGAGGCUGGCCAGAACAAGGAGAAUGAGGGAGAUGUAGGCCUGGCUGCUGACAACCCCUUCGUAUCAUCCCCACCCCCAUACUGGUCCAGAGAAAGGGUGGAGAACGAGAGUAGAAACCUUGCCCCUUUGUCUUUCAAUGAUACCAUUGCCAAGGGAACCAAACCCUCGUGUGCGCAUAAACCUCAGGAAAGGGACACCCCACAGAGACAAAGGUAUAAUACCAGGAGUGUACAUGUAUCCCUCUGUUUCUUAUUUCUUGAAGUUGGUUAGUGUAGUAGGGCAGCACAGUGACCCAGGAGCCUCUCUCCAAAGCUAUCGCUGUAAGUUUAAGUCCAGUUCAGGUCCAGACUGCGGAUGGUUUGCCCAGGUUUCCUCUCAUCAUAAUGUUGGCUGC